rnacentral:rRNA from 1 species
CUACGGGGGGCAGCAGUGGGGAAUAUUGCACAAUGGGCGCAAGCCUGAUGCAGCCAUGCCGCGUGUAUGAAGAAGGCCUUCGGGUUGUAAAGUACUUUCAGCGGGGAGGAAGGGAGUAAAGUUAAUACCUUUGCUCAUUGACGUUACCCGCAGAAGAAGCACCGGCUGAACUCCGUGCCAGCAGCCGCGGUAAUACGGAGGGUGCAAGCGUUAAUCGGAAUUACUGGGCGUAAAGCGCACGCAGGCGGUUUGUUAAGUCAGAUGUGAAAUCCCCGGGCUCAACCUGGGAACUGCAUCUGAUACUGGCAAGCUUGAGUCUCGUAGAGGGGGGUAGAAUUCCAGGUGUAGCGGUGAAAUGCGUAGAGAUCUGGAGGAAUACCGGUGGCGAAGGCGGCCCCCUGGACGAAGACUGACGCUCAGGUGCGAAAGCGUGGGGAGCAAACAGGAUUAGAUACCCGAGUAGUC